rnacentral:lncRNA from 1 species
AUGCCAGCCGCCGGCUCUGUUAUGAAAGAAAGCGGCAGACUCAUCUUACAGGUGUUCCCUAAUGAGGUAUUUUAGGGGAUUAGGGUUCUCCUUUAUCUCCUCCACCCAUCCGCGGAGGGUUUCAAUAUAAAUCUCCGCAGAUAUUUUCAGAUCGCGAGACAUAAUGUUCUCUGCGACACUGGAAUAGAUUUAUUCCAUUUCCGGAAAGUGAACGGAAAGCCGCCCUUUCCCCUUCUCACAAUAUUCCCGAACUUGCUCAAGAAUCAAUGAAUAGCACUUCGAAGUCCCUCAGGGGGAUCGGCGUGGGGAACUUCCACCGGUUCUGGACUGGAGCCUGCGGGUUCUGAAUGA